ensembl:lncRNA
UCCAGUGGAGCAGGGCAAGCUCUCUGCCUUGGUGUUUACCAGAAGCAAUCCCAGGUAACGUUCCCUCAUCCAACACGGAUAUCAGCCUUUCAGGAGAUAAUUUGCUCUUGAUUAAGAAUCACUAGGAAAUUAAUAAAAACAAUAAUUAGCUAAUGAAGCACAGCUCAUUACUGAAAGGAAAUGUACCCAAAUCUCAGUCCACAUUCUUCAUGGCAGAAGGCAAUUUCUGGGGAAAGCCGACAACACCCUGUUUUACAUUUUUUAUUACAGCAGUCAGGGUACUCCUCACACACUGUGGGUUCUGAUUAACAGGUGAUCACACUAAGAGGAAAGCACAAAGCAACACUGAACUCUGGAAUAUGAACUGCUAUAUGUUCAGGCUUUGAGGAAAAGAAGAAAAAUAAGCACGCAGGAAAUUAUCUAUCUAACAUGAAGAAGAGGAGUAAUUAACUAGGUGGGCCUUCUGUAUAUCUCAGCAGAAGGCAGAUUUAAAGCGUCGCUGUGCUCACUGUGAAGGUAUUUCUGGACAAAAAAUUGCCGCAGAAAAUGGAAAACAAAAGCAGAAGCUUUAUCAUUUCAAGGUCAACAAUGCUAUGUAUUUAAGGAAGCUUAAAAAAAAUAGCGCUUCACGCUCUUUCCCUACAGCAAAUACAAAUAAACAAGCAGAAGUACUUAACAACUGAGAACUAACAGUGACAGACAUGAGAGCCUUGUCCACCCCUCUGAAAAGAUCAGAAGAAAUAAUCUUAGAAGUCUUCUCGCUCUGCGAACAAGCCUCUUCCCAUCCUCAAGCACUACACAAGCAUGAGUACAGCACUCUGCAAUUAGCGCUGGAGCAGAGGAGUACACCUGUAUCACAUCUAUCACUGAAAUGCAGCCACCAUCGACUUAGACCACGGCAGCUGUUUGAUGGCGUGCACCAAUUACACCUAGCAGUGAGGACAGGAAGGGAAGAAGGCGCUGUAAUCAGCAGAGGCUACGGGGGGGAUUCAUGUAACACAACCUAAUUACUUGCCUGGAUUUUGGCCAGUACACUAACUAGAGAUACCAUCCUCACUCCUAAGCAAGCAGCCUUGAAACUUCAAUUAUUGCGGUGGUCAAGGUCUUAGUUUUAUAUCUUGAAGGCAGCAACUCCAGCAACACAAUUAUAUUACUCCAGUACUGACUCAACAGAGAAAGUGCCACCCGCUGAAACGCCAUCGUGUCCUGUAGCAUAUAAAUGAUAAUUAGCGGUCUUUUUUUUUUUCCCCUAGAAAUUAUGAGAUGCUCUAUAGGCUGCACAGCAUGAGAUUUGAUAAGAUGAGAGCACUGGGUGGUAUAGCUAAUAAAUCAGUUUACUGUACAACCUCAUUUCUUUAAUGAACGGCAAAUACCUGAGCCUCAGCAAAGAGCUCCAGGCACACACUUGCAGAACGAAAUGCUGGAUGUAAUUUUUGUGUUGUCUCUGAAGAGGGAGUGCUGACCUACCACUAGGCAUUAGCAAACAGUCUCCUGCCAGGGGGCAAUGCUAAGUGUAAACCUUGAUGUAAGAAUUAAAACAUAAAAUCCAAAAUACCAGAAGAGAUAAGUGGCAAAGCCAUUAUCGGAGAAUAGCCCAGCAGAGGUACCAUUUUCAUAAGAGAGUAACUUUUAGAAGCUGACAAGAGCUGUCAAGAGCUGUCAAGGUGUCAGGCCGGGAGAAGAGCCAGCACAAUUAACAUAUACUAGGCUUCAAUCUGCUGCGCGGGGAAAAAAGAGGGAUUUGUUUUGGACAAUUACAAGUUAAUAAAUGGAAGUGUCAGUUCCUCUGCAGUUAUUUCUACAGCACACAUUAAAUUGUACUAAAGGCCAAAACCUUUCACAGUUCCUGUCAUGGUAGGCAACAGUACCAUUAUUUUAUAUUUCAGGCAAUGUCAAUGACAGCAGUUACAAAUGUCCAAGAAAAUAUUUCCCAUAGCAGCAUAUCAGGCAGUUUACUUGGCAGAAAUCAUCUGUGCUCUGAGCAGUGACUAGUGGUUUAGAUUUUUAUUAUGAAGACUAUUUUUUCCCCUGCAAAACACACACAUACAAAUGAGUGCUGGAAGUGAAGUGCUCGGAAAGUCAUCUCUGUUCAGAUGGCACCCCAAGAGAUUUGCAAAGGAUUCAAACUCACCAUGCAUACAGAGGAAGGCACAGAAGCCUCCAUGUAGAAGUGAACCCACACUGCAUGAGGAGCAGCUAUCGAAGCUUGAAUUUUAUCCCAAAUCCUUACAGAAUGGAAAAAAAGCUUAAAAAUCCCAUACGUCUUAAUGCAAGCUUUUUUCUCCUCUGUUGCUGAAGGAAAAUGGUUUGACAUGAUUUUUGCCUUGUUGCUCUUCCCGUUAAUCAAGCCAGAAAGAUGAAUCAUUAGCUGUUUUAUCUUCCUUUUGUUCACAGUCAGACAGGUGUGCAGAACCAAAGCAAAAUACUACAGCAGUGUUUAAAAGAAAUCCGCUACCCACAGAGUAAUUUGGGAAAUACUACCUAUUAGUUAAGUCAUUAUCCAUCCUUACUGAAGUAAAAUAACCCCCCGAUUCAUCAUCAAAAGUGAGGUUAUCCACACAUACUAUUUUAAGACUGCCCAAUUGCUACUGCUGCAAAUACUAUUUUUUGGUUAUGAGAGCUCUGCUUUGGCAGCCGGCUGCUCCUCCUCACUCUGAGGAAGUUUAAAAACAAAUUAAAGAUCCUAAAAUGGGCUUGGGAACAGCAUACACCUCGCAGGAAUCUUGGCAUGGGGUGAAUGGACAGCUGCUUCAGUCCUGACCUAUUUCUAAGCAUCUGAACAAACACAUCUCUUUAUAAAUACUACCUGCAGAGUACUCUUUCAGUUGUUGAUCUCCCAGUCAUUAUAUGAGCAUCUCAGAAACUUCCUUUGCUUUUCCAGCCCUGAGUUGAAUUGAGUUACGUUGGAUCUGGCCAUAGGAGCAAGUUUUUAACGCACACAGGUGAACUAGAGCAACUUAAGCUAGGUUAUAUUUUUAAUAUAUUUCUAAUUAUACAACUCAUACCAUUUUAUCAACCUUAUAAAGUAGGCUGAUGCCAGGAAAAUGUACUAAUUGUGGUAUCCCUCAGAAUUGCAAAACUAUGAGCAGGAACAAGGGAAGAAAAUGAAGUAACCCACAUUAGUAGCAUUCAUUAUCCUCACAUUCAAAGAAAGGAAAAAAUAAAGAUUCAUUAAGCAAGAAACAAGCCUUGAGAUGGCAGACAAGAAAGUCCCUUGCUGGGGCAGAGAAGUAGGACUGCAGAGAGACAAGGCAGAGGACGAGGUGGCAGCAGCCCAUGAUUUAUAAAUCAGAUGACAGAGAUAACUAAUUCCUAUUAGUUCAAUGCUUGCUUAGUGAAAGAAAAAGGCAAACUAAGGAUGAGGAGUUUGAUAAGCAUCAUUUUAAUGUUUCAUUUAUUUUUUUCUAUUUUUUUUCCAUCUGUGAGAACCCAUUUUCAUAUGUGUCUUUUGUUCAAUUUUUUAUCGUAUCUAGCGACAGCCCUAUCUCAUAUACAGUAUCUUUCAUCUAUGAGAGAAAGGCUACUGACCACCUUAAGCAUCCUUAAACAAACGCCCUGCUCUUGCACUGCUCACUCUAACUGAAGCCCCUUCGGCCAGAGGAAUGGUUGCUUUCUUACAGCUAGAGAGGGAUACCAAUAAUGGCAGGGAGGAAUGUGCACAUUUGGGGUGAAGGGAUGAGCUGAUCCCUAAGGGAGUCUCCAAUAGCUAUCUUUAACAGCUGGUAGUGCUGGAAACCUUCCCUUCUCAACAUUCUUGUUGAGUCCAGGCUUCCUUUCUCUCCCUCGUGGAAUUUGUAGGCUAAUACAUCUCUGCGUGAUCACAAGUGAUGUAACACAGUGAGAUCCUGUCUGUACCAGAUGCAAACGUGCAGUUGUCAGUAUAAGCACAGAAUUUUAAAGCUAUACAAAAUAUAUGCAAAGAAGGGUGAUUCAUCCAAAAAAAAAAANNNNNNNNNNNNNNNNNNNNNNNNNNNNNNNNNNNNNNNNNNNNNNNNNNNNNNNNNNNNNNNNNNNNNNNNNNNNNNNNNNNNNNNNNNNNNNNNNNNNAAGCAUUAAAAAGUGGUUUUUUUUUCAUUUAAUAGAUUUUUGUCAUUUCUCUGACUUUCAGUGACAGAAAAGUGGAUGCAGGUUACAUAGAGCUAACUUUUUGCAUGAACUCUUGGUAGCAUUAGCAUAUCAAGAUGACAGCAGCAUGAGAGAAGCAGGAAGCUGGGCAUUUAAAAGUAGCAGCAUUAAUAAUGAAUGAGCUUGAAUUAAUAUUAUUCAUUAUUUAUAUUAUGGUGUACCAUGGGUUUCAGUCAGUUCUAAUUUAAGAAAAGAUGCAACAUGCUGUUGUUUCCUUCAAGGAAAGAGAAGGAUGCCUGCAAGAGAGGCAAAGACACAAAGCCCAGCUGUAUUUAUGUUGUCUUCUGCAGGCAGAAAGUCUUAAAAUAAAGAAAGAAACAAAAAUAAUUCAGCCAAAAGACAGUAGCACUUUCUAUAAUUUGAUGUUAAACCACAACUCUUCUGCCACAUAUGGAGUCUUUGGAAGGAAAUAAAAGGUUCUUUGCAGAAUAAUUGAGGUUUGUCACAAGGAUGCUUGUCUCGAGCAGGCAUAGAUGAAAGCCUAGUGAGAAACUAGGGCUAUUUCUCAAAUAACACCAUAUGGUAUCCUUGAAAUGAAGGAAGAGGCUGGGCUGAAUUCAAAACAGGACUUAUGGGAGGAGCACACUUCUAAUUUUCUUUUCCACCAACACUUGAAACCUUCUUAAACAAGGGCUGCUGUCCGUCUGUUGGCAGAGCUCAGGAGCAGCCGCAGUACUGCUCUUUUGAACCAUCCCUCGUUCCAAAACUUUUAUGUGCUGUGUGAGGGUGGGGAAAGUUCAACUUAGUGAGUUGUUCAGAUCUUUGCUAGACAAUUAAAAUUGUAGCAGUAACUGAGAAAUAAAAAAAUCGAGACCUACUAACCGCUGAAGCUCACAGAGAACAGGCUCUGCAGUUAGACUGUUCCUAGAAAAGGGGAAUCACUUGUAUGUAUGCUGCCUGUCUACUCACAUCUCCUUCCGAAAGACAACACAAAUCACAAUGUUGUGUUCCACUAAUGGGUGAGAACUACAACUUAAAAAAGAACAAGCUCAUCUUGAGAGGUUGGAAUUUAAUACAUUACUGUCAACGUACAUCUGUCUUUCAUUUAAGAAAACUUAGAACUUUACUGUAAAUAAUAUUCUUUCCUUGAGUUCUGU